rnacentral:rRNA from 1 species
UGGAUCCAGACUUUGAUUCUGGCUCAGGACGAACGCUGGCGGCGUGCUUAACACAUGCAAGUCGAACGGAGAACUUAUUUCGGUAAGUUCUUAGUGGCGAACGGGUGAGUAACGCGUGGGCAACCUGCCCUCCAGUUGGGGACAACAUUCCGAAAGGGAUGCUAAUACCGAAUGUGCUCCCUCCUCCGCAUGGAGGAGGGAGGAAAGAUGGCCUCUGCUUGCAAGCUAUCGCUGGAAGAUGGGCCCGCGUCUGAUUAGCUAGUUGGUGGGGUAACGGCUCACCAAGGCGAUGAUCAGUAGCCGGUCUGAGAGGAUGAACGGCCACAUUGGGACUGAGACACGGCCCAAACUCCUACGGGAGGCAGCAGUGGGGAAUCUUCCGCAAUGGACGAAAGUCUGACGGAGCAACGCCGCGUGAGUGAUGAAGGUCUUCGGAUUGUAAAACUCUGUUGUUAGGGACGAAAGCACCGUGUUCGAACAGGUCAUGGUGUUGACGGUACCUAACGAGGAAGCCACGGCUAACUACGUGCCAGCAGCCGCGGUAAUACGUAGGUGGCAAGCGUUGUCCGGAAUUAUUGGGCGUAAAGAGCAUGUAGGCGGGCUUUUAAGUCUGACGUGAAAAUGCGGGGCUUAACCCCGUAUGGCGUUGGAUACUGGAAGUCUUGAGUGCAGGAGAGGAAAGGGGAAUUCCCAGUGUAGCGGUGAAAUGCGUAGAUAUUGGGAGGAACACCAGUGGCGAAGGCGCCUUUCUGGACUGUGUCUGACGCUGAGAUGCGAAAGCCAGGGUAGCAAACGGGAUUAGAUACCCCGGUAGUCCUGGCCGUAAACGAUGGAUACUAGGUGUAGGAGGUAUCGACCCCUUCUGUGCCGGAGUUAACGCAAUAAGUAUCCCGCCUGGGGACUACGAUCGCAAGAUUGCAACUCAAAUGAAUUGACGGA